rnacentral:tmRNA from 1 species
GGGGGCGUAAAGGUUUCGACGGGGAUUGUGAAGUAUGGUAAGCGCGUAGCGGAGCAUGCCCGCUUAAAACAUGCAUUUAAAUUUAAACGCUGAAGAUAAUAAUUUAGCUUUUGCUGCUUAAUUAAGCAGCCAUCCGAACCGGAAGGACCACGAGCCGGCAAGGGUGUCACUUUAGUGGUGAACGUUCUUCGUGAGUUCCACGGCGCGUAGAAUGUAUUAGGGAUACCAAACCCGGGAGUCUGCCUGCCGACGCCCGGGCAAGGGAAUGUAAAAGACAGGCUACACGCGUAGAAAGCCAUAUGGAUUGAUUUUCGGACAGGGGUUCGAUUCCCCUCGCCUCCACCA